AUGUCAGAUUCAUCAUCAUACUCAGAUGACUCUGAUGAACUAGCCCCAUCCAAAAUCAUGGAAGAGUAUGUUGCUGAGCAAACCGUCUUGGACUCCUUUGCCGAGCGACUCAUGAUGAAGAUCAAGGCUAGGAUUUCAGCUGGAUCAUCUCAGCGACAAAGUGGUCCAAGGAAGAUCAUUCGAAGGGAUCAUGGAGGUGCUCAUGAACGUUUGGUGGAGGACUAUUUUGCUGCUGAUCCACUCUACGACGAGAGUAUGUUUCGUACAAGAUUUCGCAUGAAUAAACACCUCUUCCUACGCAUUGUGAAUGCCCUUGGUCAGUGGUCUCCCUAUUUCACUUAUAGGGCAGAUUGUUCUGGCCGAAUAGGCCUCUCACCAUUGCAGAAGUGUACUGCAGCCAUGCGCAUGCUAGCGUAUGGCACCCCUGCAGAUGCCCUUGAUGAGUACUUGAAGAUUGGGAAGUCCACUGCAUUAGAGUGUAUGGACAAGUUUGCACGGGGUGUGAUUGCGGUGUUUGACGGGGAAUACUUGCGACGCCCCACAAGAGAGGAUAUUGAGCACUUGCUUCAGGUUAAUGAGUCUCGUGGUUUUCCUGGAAUGUUAGGAAGUAUUGAUUGCAUGCACUGGUGA
rnacentral:rRNA from 1 species